rnacentral:rRNA from 1 species
CCUACGGGGGGCAGCAGUCGGGAAUAUUGCGCAAUGGAGGAAACUCUGACGCAGUGACGCCGCGUGCAGGAAGAAGGUUUUCGGAUUGUAAACUGCUUUAGACAGGGAAGAAAAAAGACAGUACCUGUAGAAUAAGCUCCGGCUAACUACGUGCCAGCAGCCGCGGUAAUACGUAGGGAGCAAGCGUUAUCCGGAUUUAUUGGGUGUAAAGGGUGCGUAGACGGGAAUGCAAGUUGGUUGUGAAAUCCCUCGGCUUAACUGAGGAACUGCAACCAAAACUACAUUUCUUGAGUGCUGGAGAGGAA